GGAAGAAGGCCGUAUUUAUGUGGACCUAUACCUCUAAACAUUAGUCUAAUAUACUAAGUCGGUUGUAGUGUGCCGAAACCGACGAACGGGUCAGCCUGUAAAUAAAGAGGGCCAACCAAUUAAUUGAUUCCUUUUGUGGAGUGGUGGGUGGGGCAACAGGAAGUGACCAAGCACUGUCAGCAAGGUAUGGAGGUAAGUAGUGGGUUUAUAUAGGUCGGUUGCAACCCCUCCCACAACUCCAGGCUCCGCCUUCCCAUUUGUGGUCAGGGAAGAAGGCCGUAUUUAUGUGGACCUAUACCUCUAAACAUUAGUCUAAUAUACUAAAUCGGUUGUAGUGUGCCGAAACCGACGAACGGGUCAGCCUGUAAAUAAAGAGGGCAAAAGAGAAGUAUCAGUUCCACACUUAAUACGUAUACACAUACAUUAUUACCCGAGCUUCCCUACUUUGCCAAUUGUUUAAAAGUUUGUCUCAACUCUUUCUCAGGUUGAGGUAUGUAACGGUAAUAUGAACUGGUACGUUUUGGCUGGAGGUUGAUGUUGCCGCUCCGAUACGAAAGGAGUGGCCUGUAUAUGCCGUGGGAUCGUACCCGAUUCUUGUACAUAAUAAUCUCACGUAUUUGACGAAUUUUGGAUGUAGUCAGGGGUUGACUGUGUAUUGUGAGGAGAGGAGCUUGUUUGGGUUGAUAAGCCAUACCUGCCAUGUAUUUGUCGAAUAGUUGUACGGGGCCCCAAUGAUUGCCGGUUGGGUAAAAUUGAAUGUCAAGGUGCGGACCCAUUUGAUUCGUUUGAAUGUCUUAAUGUCAAUGUGUAGUGAUCACCUAUUAUGUUUAUGUGUGACACACACAGUAUAUUUCCCUUAUUGUUGAUGUUGCUUAAGGUGAGUUCGUUGGGACGCAUAAAAUGCCAG